UACGAAGGGGGCUAGCGUUGCUCGGAAUCACUGGGCGUAAAGCGCACGUAGGCGGAUCUUUAAGUCAGGGGUGAAAUCCUGGAGCUCAACUCCAGAACUGCCUUUGAUACUGGGGAUCUCGAGUCCGGAAGAGGUGAGUGGAACUCCGAGUGUAGAGGUGAAAUUCGUAGAUAUUCGGAAGAACACCAGUGGCGAAGGCGGCUUACUGGUCCGGUACUGACGCUGAGGUGCGAAAGCGUGGGGAGCAAACAGG
rnacentral:rRNA from 1 species